UUGAAAUUCUAAAAAUAUUUUUAUUGGAUUCGAUAUGAUAUUCCUACUAAAUAUCAAUAGUUCAAUUACUGUGCGAUAUUUAUUAUAAAACUGAAUGUCAACAGUCCAAUCGCUCUGUUUAUUAGAAAUAAAUAUUCCAGACUCCGGUACGAAUGAGCGCGCCCUCCGUUCGACGUUCAUUAAUCCACUGUCAGACAAAAGGUGUUAUUGACAAGUCCGGUAAUUCGUUUCUUCUGUCAAACAUUGGUGUUCAACAAACCUAGGUAGGACGUCUUCGAUUCGUUGUCAACAACAGAUCAAAAAGAAAGCAUGACACAUAAACAUGCCACCGGUUACUCUCGUCCCGCCAUCAUCGAUGGUUUUACGUUUCUUCUGUGCCUGUCGUCUGUGAUUUCACAACAAAUAAGGACAGGUCACUUUAUCGUGGAAUCACCGGCUCUGAACCCGACGACGACCUCAGCGGGUGACUACGUUAGAAGCGUCGCUGACUGCGCAAUGGGCUGCAUCAACGACGACGUAUGUAUUAUGGCCGAGUUUGCAGAAACCGUCUCCAGCGUUCUGUGUCGCUUGUGGAAUGUCUACGACAGCGGCACCAAAGGUUACCGCGCGGUGUACCAGGAGCGAAUUGCUCUUACGUCCACGACGUCUACCACAGCCAAGACAACGACAGCAUUACGUUUGUCAGCCGGUGGACGCAAUUUACAAAACGUUCAGGAUGCCUCUAUUCCUGGGCCUUAAGUCGCUCAUUUAAAGUCUUAUGGAUCAUAAAUCGCCAGCUCGAAGGCGAUGGUCGUUCGUCUUAAUUAUCCUGUUGUUUAAAUUAUCGCUGGCUUUCCAAGCAUUUAUACUACCCACAUUCAUCAAAACCCCAAUCGAUGAAAAACAACAAAGUACUAAAAUAUCUAUCUUCGAAAUAGAAGCACCAACGCCUGCCCCAGAAGCCGUAACAGAUGGCCGCUUUAGGCAGUCGGUCUUGGAUUGUGCUUUGGAGUGUGCUAAGGAUGACGCAUGCGUAAUGAUAGAGUACAAACCGUGGAAAAAUACAAACUCUGGAGUCACAUGUCGCACUUGGAAUACUUACCAGAAUAAUACACAAGGCUAUCGGGCUGUACUCCAAGAACGAACUGCACGUGUGAAGAUAACAAAGUUCGACGGGAACGUGGCCAGUUUUAGAUGUGGGAUAACUGCAGCAUCCAGCGAAAUAUCGAUGGCAGUGAUUCAGUUUAUUUUCAAAAUACAGUGAACGGAACGAACGGAACGAACAGUUCCACAAAACUCAAUUUUGUAGAUGUUGGAAUAAUCUAGCAAUUAACAAAUAAAGAGAGAAAUAUCGCAGGAACAAAACAGUUUUUUUUUUAACACAACCCUCCCUAGCGCACACAAGAACAGUUUUGUAGAUAACAGAACAGUCCAGAAUAACAUAAUAUCGUAGAAGACUUUAACAGAUGACAAAUCUAGCAGUUAUAAUAGAACAGUCUCACAGAGAAAAGAACAACCAUGCAGAUAAUAAUAUCUGACAGUAUACAGAACAGUUUUACAAAAGACAAUUCUCGAAAAUAACAGAACAGUUCCGCAGAUAAAUUAAUAGUCCUGCAGGUAACAGAACAGACUCGCAAAUAACCGAAGUCUCGUGGAUAGCAGCGAAAUAACAGAACUGUCUUACAAAUAACAGCAAAACCAUUUUUAUUUUUUAUUUUAAUGUUUUUUUUAUUUAUUUAUGUAUUAUUAAUUAAAAAGAAAACCAGCCUCA